AACGCGCGGCGUGGGGGAAGGGAAUGAAAUAGGAUUAGACUGGAGAGGACAUUAGGCGGUGCUGCAGUCGUCACAACGGCUGGAGCUUGGCGGUUUAGAAUUCCCUUCAUCAUUGUCACAAUUCGAAGAAAGAAAGCUGAGGCAUUUGUUUGAUGCGGGCUGCCCCUGGGCAAGAGCUGGGGGUGUCACUUGGCAGGGCAGCUGCCUUCUUCUUCCUGUGCCUCGCAGCUUCCCCCAGAGACACCUUGCCCUGGUUGAAGCACCAGCUGUGCCUUUCCUGAGUCUCCAGCUGUUUGCAGUUAACCAGACUGAGAAUCAUCAGCAUGAGUGGCUGUGGUAUUCAUUGGUGACUGCGGAUUCAGAUACCAAGAUUAAAACAUUUACUUUAACUCUCAAGCAGG